rnacentral:rRNA from 1 species
GAUGAACGCUGGCGGCGUGCUUAACACAUGCAAGUCGAACGAUAACGCACAACUUGCUGGGUGGUUUAGGGGCGAACGGGUGAGUGACACAGGAGUAACUUGCCCUUUACUUUUUGAUAGGGCUGGGAGAAUGGGUAUAAUACCUAAUAGGGGCUUCCACCGCCUGGUGGGAGUUGGAGAGAUUUAUCGGUUUUGGGUGGGCGGGCGGCGUAGCCGCUUUUGGGGGAGGUAGCGGCUCACCAAGGCGACGGCGGGUAGCCGUCCUGAGAGUGUGACCGGCCACAAUGGGACUGAGACACGGACCAGAGUGCUAUGGGAGGCAGCAGUGGGGAAUAUUGCACAAUGGGCGCAAGCCUGAUGAAGAGACGCCGCGUGUGGGAUGACGGUCUUCGGGUUGUAAACCUCUUCCAGUAGAGACGAAGCGAUAGUGACGGUACCUGAAGAAGAAGCACCGGCUAACUACGUG